AUUGAACGCUGGCGGCAGGCCUAACACAUGCAAGUCGAGCGAGCGGCGGACGGGUGAGUAAUGUAUGGGGACUGCCCGAUAGAGGGGGAUAACUACUGGAAACGGUGGCUAAUACCGCAUACUAUCGGAUAACCCAGAUGGGAUUAGCUAGUAGGUGGGGUAAAGGCUCACCUAGGCGACGACCUCUAGCUGGUCUGAGAGGAUGCUCGGCCAACCUGGGACUGAGACACGGCCCAAACUCCUACGGAGGCAGCAGUGGGGAUUAUUGCACAAUGGGCGCAAGCCGAAUGCAGCCAUGCCGCGUGUAUGAAGAAGGCCUUAGGGUUGUAAAGUACUUUAAGCGGGGAGGCGUUACAAGAAGAAGAAGCACCGGCUAACUCCGUGCCAGCAGCCGCGGUAUUC
rnacentral:rRNA from 1 species